CUCGCUUAUUUCCAUAUAUUAUUUCAUCAUUGUCCUCACAUUUUACAAGCGCGGUCAGCCUACAUGCCAUUUGAGUCGGCAGCCAUAUUUGAAAUAGUCUAUUCCUUUGUUCGUCAUUUAGGCUGUAUUUGUCUAAAUUAGACUCAAACAUUUCAGCAUUAGUGAAUGCAUCCACUGACGUGUCAUAAACUGGAAUACAUUUCACAAUUUUCAUUAAUUGUUCAUGGAUUUUCAAAUUAAGUUUUGCAGUUCUGUCUUGAAAUUUACAUUUCUGCAAAUCACUCUGUGAGGAUACAUUUUCAGUAUCU